GUGAAUCAUCGAAUUUUUGAACGCAAAUUGCACUCUCUGGCAUUCCGGAGAGUAUGCCUGUUUGAGGGUCAGUUUAAUUAAAAACGGAGUGUCUCUUUCGUGAUGACCCGGCGGUAGGGUCUUAUUAGUUAUCGGUUAAGAGUUUUAAAUUUGAUAUAUUUUUUACGCGUUUCUAGACGUACAUAAUUUAUU
rnacentral:misc_RNA from 1 species